ACGGAGUUANCCGGGGUUUCUUUACCAGAUACUGUCAUUAUCAUCUCUGGCGAAAGAGCUUUACGACCCUAAGGCCUUCGUCACUCACGCGGCAUGGCUAGAUCAGGCUUGCGCCCAUUGUCUAAGAUUCCCC
rnacentral:rRNA from 1 species